rnacentral:rRNA from 1 species
UAUUUUAUUUUGUAAUCAGCAUGUAUAUCGCCGUUAUAAGUUUAUUUUAUUAGAAUUAAUUUACUUGAUAUUUAAUUAAAUAUUAUUUCAGGUCAAGGUGCAGUUUAUGGUAAAGUGGAGAUGAGUUACAAUAUAUUUUAUAUUAUGGAUUUAUAAUUGAAAUUUUAUUAUAAUGAAGGUGGAUUUAAUUGUAAUUGAAUUGAUAAUGAUUUUUUGAUAUUAGCUCUAGAAUAAGUACACAUCGCCCG